UGCCUUGAAUUUGAGCUCUUUCAGCAUUUAGUUUUCGGCAUUGUUUACCGGCACGAGUUCUCGACAGAACCGUUAACGAGUUUUAGUAAUAUCUCACAGCGAAGUGAGCACCUGAUAAUGUUGCGGUACACAUUUGUGAAAAGUGAAGGAGUGCUGAUGGCAAUUUAUUUUAUAUUCAUGUCUAUAAUAUGGAAUCCUGAGUAUGUGAAUGCCGGCGGACCAGAAAUAAACCAGCUGGAAGGUGGAGAACAAACGCCUGGUGUCGUGAGGAAGGAAGUGGAUGCCAACCUCCGACAUUAACCACGAGUUAUACUCGUUGGUUCGCUAGACAAGAUGGGAGUGCGUGUUACAACAUCCUAACAAGUCGUUGUAAAGGGCCUCGCUACGCCACGGAAGGUCAGUGUAAACUGAACUGUGGAAUAAGGCGGAGGUGAUUCGACACGCGCAGCCACCUUUCCGAGAAAUGUAGUUUUUAUGCAAAAUAAAAUUUUGCUUCCUUCGGAAAGGGCAUCUUCCCA